rnacentral:rRNA from 1 species
UGGGGAAUUUUUGGCAAUGGGGGAAACCCUUACCAAGCAACGCCGCGCGGGUGAUGAAGUAUCUUGGUACGUAAAACCCUUUCGGCAGGGACGACGGAAGUGACGGUACCUGCGGAAGAAGCUCCGGCUAACUCCGUGCCAGCAGCCGCGGUAAUACGGGGGGGGCAAGCGUUGUUCGGACUUACUGGGCGUAAAGGGCGCGCAGGCGGUUGGAUAAGAGAGUGGUGAAAACCCCGGGCUCAACCUGGGGCCGGCCACGCAGACUGUCCGGGUGGAGUGUGGGAGAGGGAAGUGGAAUUCCUGGUGUAGAGGUGAAAUGCGUAGAUAUCAGGAGGAACACCGGUGGCGAAGGCGGCUUCCUGGACCACAACUGACGCUGAGGCGCGAAAGGCAGGGGAGCAAACAGG